GUUAAAUAGCAUGAUUAGCUAUGUUCUCUAGUACAUUCGUAUUUCUUAAUUUAUUCAGAUAAAUGUUUAACGUCCCUAAUUCCUGUCACAGCCCAUGCUGUUUUAAAAAGGAAGCAAAGGAAGCAAAACGUGGAGUUUGGAUGGCUGCAUCCAGCUAGCCAAGCCUCUCUGCUGUACCAGUUAGAGUGAAACUUCUCAUAUAGUUUUACCCUUUUUCGCUAGCUUGUUGUUUGAUUAUGAUGUCAGGUUGAUCUGGACCAAGUUCUUCUUUCAAACGGAUUCUGAAGAAGAGAUUUUGCUGAAUUAAGAGAAAGCUGAAGUUGCUACCUGGUGUCCAUCACUGUCAGUAACAAUCGCUGUCCUCAGCUACUGAUUCUGCUCUGGGCCAUUAAAUCGUCGCCCUUUAGGCGUCAAAUUAGCCGACGCUGAUUGGCUGAAUUUCUGUUGCUAUGUGUGUCUGAGAGCUUUUAUUGGCUGUACUGUGUCACUGGGCAAUGUUUAGUUCGCCCCAAGUUGAGCUGCUGCAGGUUUUUUUUUUUUUUACCACAAAUACUGAUUCAUAUUUAAAUUUUUUUUUCAACAAUAUGUUCUCAUACUUAUACUUGAAAUAGUAAUAUUAAUUACUUUUAACAAAUAUAUAUAUAUAUAUUUUUUUUUUUAAAGUUUCAACGGUGGGCAGGGGGACUCAUCUGGUGUGAUAUUAAUUUGAUCCCUUGUCUAAGUUUGUGUUUUAACUUUCAGUCAGUCCCUUAGAGAAUUACAUUUUGUGCAUCCUCCUUUAUGCAGAGUAGUUGUCUUGUUUCAUGAAUCCUCUCAACACCACACCCUAACCAAGACAAGAAAUGACUUCUGUGUUUGCAUUUGCGUUUAAAAUAGUUUCAGACAUUUUGCUUAUAAUCUGUGUUGUAUUAUGAGUAAACAGGACCUUUUUGCUCCACUGUCCUUUGACUGCAAUGUUUUUUUUCUCAUUUUAGUGGCCUGUAGAAAUGUUGGUUCUGCUGUGAAAGAAAGCAGCCGAUAUACAGGAUGAAGAAGAAAGUGAAGUUGUUUGGCUAAACUUGCUGGUUUACAGGCAGUCUUACUUUUCAUUUAUUUCUGCACUUCCUCUUGAUUCAUGAAAUGGUUUUGGGUUGUUCACUGACAGUCUGGUCUGUUGUUCAUUUUAGAGUAGUAGCAAAGUUUGUCUCAUUCUUGAUAAACAUCUCCAUCUGGUGGAGGAUGUAG
rnacentral:lncRNA from 1 species